AAUAAGGGAGAUCGUAGAGGUGAUGGACGGUCGUAAGCCGACAGGAGGGCGAGUCGAGGUGAAGGUCCGGCUGCGGGAGCCCCUGAGCGGACAGGACAUGCAAUCGAGCACCGAGCGAUGGCUGGUGAUCGACUCGUCACAGGUUCUGGUUUAGAUGCUGCUGCGAGUUAAGGACGGUUCACAAGAUAAAGAUUAAAGGCACUCAAUCAGAAACACUCGGAGGAGGAUGGAGUUCAGGAAGUGAUGAGGACGGUCUGCUCUUCAGAGGCGACUCGGAGCUACACGGGUCUCUGAAUUUAGAACACUUUUGCACCUUUGCGAGACAGGAGAGCUCCGCCUGCGCUUCAGAGGAGGCGACGGUUUACGCGAGGUCAGUGUGACGCUCGCUGAUGGACAAAAAGCACUUGUUGUUCCCCUGCUUUGUUUCAUUGCUGCUGAUUCUCACAGAUUAAACUCCAGAUAUAGGCUUGUGAUGCAUAUGGGGAGAAAUUAGGGGUCCAGAUUAGUCUGCUGAGGGGCUCAGUGUGAUCCUGAUCCUGCUGACAUGACUUGAGUUAAUAUAAUAUAUCGAAGAAUGUGUAUAUAUUCCUGUUAUUACAGCUCUGGUAUAGAGAACUGCAACUAUGCACUAACACCAAAGUAAUCACUGUUGCUGUAAAAUCCUGCAUAUUUGAAAUGUGCUCUUUAGCUGCCAAACCUGUUACAAAAACACCGGAGUGACAACGAGGGACUGGAUUUUCUGUAGUGGGUUUUAUGAGGUAUGUGCACUCAGUAGAUGGCGACUGGUAUGCUCCAAGUUAUGGGAAACUGACAGGAGGAAGAGUAACGAUGCUUAGCAAGGUACUGCAGUGGACAGGGGAGCAGCUAAACACGUUAGUCACGUAGAAAAGACAAUUUAAGGUUAAAUGCUAUAUUUAGAUUUAUUUUGCCGCCAGACUCCAUUGGCUUCAGUUUCCUGUCGUAAAGUGGGAAAGAUAUUCUCGUUAGGGUUAGACAGACAGAGCAAUGCUUCUUUACCAACCGCCAUCUACUGUAGUUACACUUGCUAUUAAUUAGUAAGUUAUACAAAACCCAUUAAAUAAAUCCCAACUAUCCGGCUCUGUCUCCACUCUGUCUCCCAACACAAUGUAUCUUGUUUUCAGCGCGAGGACACUGGCAGAUGCAGAGUCUCUCAUAUGUGUUAAAGGAGCAAAAGAAGGUAACAUUUAUUUAACUAAUAUAAAGAGCACACUCCCUCUUCAGCACCUUCUUAGUUCUCUCACUGGAACCUCUAAACUGCACACUGACCUUUCAGUGGCUUUGGGUGCGUUAGAUUUAUAUUUGUCUUGUUUACACUCCACAGUACAAACUGAGCUGAUCUUUAAUCAUCCACAAAGAUAGACAUCCAUUGUUAAUCUUUUAGUAAACAUAGUUGGAUGAUCUUAUUCUCCACAUAUUUUUAGUUGAAUUAAUAGUUUGACAUUUUGGGAAAUAUGCUUUUUUGCUUCUGGCAGUGAGAUGAGUGUCGUUCAUCUGAUCAAAAUGUCCAACUAUUCAUUUACAAGGUGAAGCACAACUUUGACCAACUAUGCAUCUCCGUUGUUUUAAAGGGCCAGUUCACUCAAAUUAGAGGAAGGAUUCCCAUCCUCUUACUUACCCACCCAUAAACCGUGAAGAUCGAGUAAAAAAAAAAAAAUGUAAGUUGUUUGUUUUGAAUUUGGAAAUUGCAACACAAAAAAUAAACAACAAAAUAGUGAAUUUACAAUCUCAACUUUAAGGUCACAUGGACAAAACAAUGUAAAAACAACCACGGGACAGACCCUAGAUUUACUGUCAAGGUGGAUUUAAAAAAAAUCUAACAUGUAGUAACUAGUAAGUGGUUUUAUUAGAGCAUCUUUCUCCUGGUUAGAUUCAUAAAGAGUGACCAGAAGACAUAGUGCAGUUAGAGGAAGGAGAAAUAUAUGUUUUUGGUAAUAAUUUGAGUGAACUGACCCUUUAAAUGUUCACCUGCAGCUUUAUAAUCAAUGCUCCACAAGAAGCCAUACCGUGGGCGUUUCUUAAUGUCGAGUAAAGCUGCUGCAGAGCCACUAUUUCCACUACGCCAUCGAGUAGCGCCGAAGGACUGUUUAAA